rnacentral:misc_RNA from 1 species
GAUGAAGAACGUAGCGAAAUGCGAUACUUGGUGUGAAUUGCAGAAUCCCGUGAACCAUCGAGUCUUUGAACGCAAGUUGCGCCUCAAGCCAUUAGGUUGAGGGCACGUCUGCCUGGGCGUCACAUAUCGUUGCCUGAUGCCAGUUUCCUCGUGAUGGGUGACUGUGCAGGGCGAAUGAUGGCUUCCCGUGAGCAUUGUUGCCUCAUGGUUGGUUGAAAAUUGAGUCCUUGGUAGGGAGCGCCGUGAUAGAUGGUGGUUGAGUGACGAACGAGACCCAAUCAUGUGAGACCCCUACCGAAUUUGGCCUUCAUGACCCACAUGCGUCUUUGGAACGCUCAUGACGAGACCUCAGGUCAGGCGGGGCUACCCGCUGAGUUUAAGCAUAUCAAUAAGCGGAG